GGGUGAGUAACACGUGAGCAAUCUGCCCUUCACUUUGGGAUAACUCCGGGAAACCGGUGCUAAUACCGAAUACGACCGCCGAUGGCAUCUUCUGGUGGUGGAAAGUUCCGGCGGUGAAGGAUGAGCUCGCGGCCUAUCAGCUUGUUGGUGGGGUAAUGGCCCACCAAGGCAACGACGGGUAGCCGGCCUGAGAGGGUGACCGGCCACACUGGGACUGAGACACGGCCCAGACUCCUACGGGAGGCAGCAGUGGGGAAUAUUGGACAAUGGGCGAAAGCCUGAUCCAGCAACGCCGCGUGAGGGAUGACGGCCUUCGGGUUGUAAACCUCUUUUCAGCAGGGACGAAAGCGAAAGUGACGGUACCUGCAGAAGAAGCACCGGGCCAACUACGUGCCAGCAGCCCGCGGUAAUACGUAGGGUGCGAGCGUUGUCCGGAAUUAUUGGGCGUAAAGGGCUCGUAGGCGGUUUGUCGCGUCGGGAGUGAAAACUCAGGGCUUAACCUCUGAGCCUGCUUCCGAUACGGGCAGACUAGAGGUAUGCAGGGGAGAACGGANUUCCUGGGUGUAGCGGUGAAAUGCGCAGAUAUCAGGAGGAACACCGGUGGCGAAGGCGGUUCUCUGGGCAUUACCUGACGCUGAGGAGCG
rnacentral:rRNA from 1 species